rnacentral:piRNA from 2 species
UCCUUGUGCUUUCAACUGAAAACAGUC